rnacentral:rRNA from 1 species
AGUGAACGCUGGCGGUGCGCCUAAAACAUGCAAGUCGAGUGGGUUUAGACCCACGGCGAACGGCUGCGUAACACGUGGGUACCUGCCCCGAACUCAGGGAUAACCCGCCGAAAGGCGGGCUAAUACCGGAUGGUCUCGUAAGAGUAAAGCUUUUGUCGGUUCGGGAGGGGCCUGCGGCCUAUCAGCUUGUUGGUAAGGUAACGGCUUACCAAGGCUAUGACGGGUAGCUGGUCUGAGAGGACGAUCAGCCAGAAUGGAACUGAGACACGGUCCAUACUCCUACGGAGGCAGCAGUUAGGAAUCUUCCGCAAUGGGCGAAAGCCUGACGGAGCGACACCGCGUGAAGGAUGAAGCCCUUUUU